rnacentral:rRNA from 1 species
UACGUAGGUGGCAAGCGUUGUCCGGAUUUACUGGGCGUAAAGAGCGCGCAGGCGGUCGUUCAAGUCGCGUGUGAAAGCCCCCGGCUCAACUGGGGAGGGUCACGCGAUACUGAUCGACUCGAAGGCAGGAGAGGGUAGUGGAAUUCCCGGUGUCGAGUGGUUGGAAAUGACGUAGAUAUCGGGAGGAACACCAGUGGCGAAG